CUCCCUGACAGAUGCCUCAGAGCCCCGGGCCGCAGUUAAGGUGACGAGAUGCAGCAAUUCUUUAUGAACAUUUCAUUCCUGCUCGCUACACGACGUAAAUUAGAUGGUGUGUUACAUUCGGGCAAUAAGAGAGAUAUGUCACCACGACGCUGGCCCAUUGGAUGGAGAGGGUAAUCCUGCCGUGAAUUUCAUUACUGCUUUUAUAUAGACAGAAUUAGCUCGGUGACAGCGAGCCUGAUUGUCUUUCACUAGGGGUUUGGAGAAGAGCUGAAAGGAUUUCACCCUGAUGUGCACACUACUGAGUGACCCCGCUCACCAGCGGCUGCGCUGAUUGCUUUGCACCUUGCAGACCCGCGAUCGGCUCAGCCUCUCCGCCGCCUCGCCUCCCUCCCUGGUCCCCAGCCCUCCCCGCCUGGCUUUUUCUUGAAGCAAGAAGAAAGGAGACCUAGUGGAAGAGUCACAAGGUCACGAAGGGAAAUUUGUACGCGGGGAGGGGCAAGUUGGCAGAGUUGAAAAACCAAAAACCAAA
rnacentral:lncRNA from 1 species